rnacentral:rRNA from 1 species
UACGUAGGGAGCGAGUGUUGUCCGGAUUCAUUGGGCGUAAAGGGCGCGUAGGCGGCGGGGUAAGUCUGGUGUGAAAUCUCGGAGCUCAACUCCGAAAUUGCACUGGAUACUGCUCUGCUAGAGGGCUGGAGAGGAGAUCGGAAUUCACGGUGUAGCAGUGAAAUGCGUAGAUAUCGUGAGGAAGACCAGUGGCGAAGGCGGAUCUCUGGACAGCUCCUGACGCUGAGGCGCGAAGGCUAGGGGAGCAAACGGG